AGUAUUUAUUGUAUGUUACCAACCAGCUCGUGCUUUGGUUUUAGAAAAUGAAAUGAGAGGCUGACUAUGAAAAGAGAGUCCAUUUUUCCAGUUGUGUGCAGAGUACAGCUGAGAAACAAAGAAGAAAAGGCUAAAGAGGUGAUGCUGCUCACUGCACCAGAGCUCCGGGCUAGCUCUACAGUGCCACUCUGGCAUGGGCAGGCGCCAAGAGUGGAGAACUUCAGGGGAAAGACGAUCCCGCUGCAGAACCUUCAGAACACUGGUUCUCUCCGAACUCUGCAGAUCAAGGUGUCACAGGUUGUGGCGAAAAGAUGGAGAAGACUCUCUUAGCUGAGGUUCCCAGGAACAGGUUUACUUGGAAAAGGGAAAGAACACAGGAGGCUGGACUGGAGGGGUUCAGAACCAACGAGAGCCUCAAGCACCUUUGUGCAUGGGAUUUUAUACACAAGGCUCUCAGGGGCGGGUACAGCUCAGAAUCCAAUGGGAACUCUCAGGGGGAGGAGUGAGGGGAGGAGAUUACAGUCUCAGGGACAACGGGGAUACAAAGAAGGCAGGAAUGUGAGGUAGCAGUCAAUGGGGGCUGGAGGGGGGAUUGAUUGACACAGAAUGGUCUGGAAGAAGGGGUGGGGUUUACAAUGAUGGAUAGGGAGUAGGGGCAGGACUAAGGUGACUGGCAGGGAACAUUCAAGAAAAAUAGGAGGGGUUUACAUAACUCACAACUGGAACAUACCCAAUUAAUCAACAAGAAUAUACCAACAAACUUUAACAAACUUUGGCAAAAUUAAGUAGACACACUACAACAAUGAGGGUGUCCAGCUAGAGCACACAUGCAGCUCAGAUGCAGCUAAACAGAAGACAGAAAAGACAAAGUGAGUUUUUUUUCUCAGAGACUUACAGCAAAAGGAUGAGAGACUUAAAAGUAAGGGAAAACUCAGUUGAUUAUAAAGAAAAGUUUUCACAAAAGUGGUUAAACACUGGGACUGUAUCUAAGAGAGGCUGUUUAUACAGGUUUCCACUUAUUAAAUAAAUUUAUAUUUCCACAAAAAUCUUCA
rnacentral:lncRNA from 1 species